rnacentral:rRNA from 1 species
GAUGAACGCUGGCGGCGUGCCUAAUACAUGCAAGUCGAGCGAAGAGGGGACGGGUGAGGAACACGUGGAUAACCUCCUAUAAUACUGGGAUAACUUCGGGAAACCGGAGCUAAACCGGAUACUGCUCGAUGGAUCCGCGCAGACUUAGCUAGUUGGUAAGGUAAAGGCUUACCAAGGCAACGAUGCAUAGCCGACCUGAGAGGGUGAUCAGCCACACUGGAAAUGAGACACGGUCCAGACCCCUACGGGAGGCAGCAGUGGGGAAUCUUCCGCAAUGGGCGAAAGCCUGACGUAGCAACGCCGCGUGAGUGAUGAAGGGCUUCGGCUCGUAAAACUCUGUUAUUAGGGAAGCGGUACCUAAUCAGAAAGCCACGGCGAACUACGUGCCAGCAGCCGCGGUAAUUC